UCUUAACACCGAGACGUGAUGACGAGUGUCUACGGACAUGAAGUGACCAAUACCACGCUUCCAGGAAAAGCCACUAAGCUUCAGUUGAAUCAGAACCGUACCGCAAACCGACACAGGUGGGCAGGAUGAGAAUUCUAAGGCGCUUGAGAGAACUCGGGAGAAGGAACUCGGCAAAUUGAUACCGUAACUUCGGGAGAAGGUAUGCCCUCUAAUGUUAAGGACUUGCUCCGUAAGCAUCUGAGGGUCGCAGAGAAUCGGUGGCUGCGACUGUUUAUUAAAAACACAGCACUCUGCUAACACGAAAGUGGACGUAUAGGGUGUGACGCCUGCCCGGUGCUGGAAGGUUAAUUGAAGAUGUGCAAGCAUCGGAUCGAAGCCCCAGUAAACGGCGGCCGUAACUAUAACGGUCCUAAGGUAGCGAAAUUCCUUGUCGGGUAAGUUCCGACCCGCACGAAUGGCGUAACGA
rnacentral:rRNA from 1 species